UUGAUCCUGACGGUAGUCGUAUGCUCGUCUCCGAGACUAAGCCAUGCAAGUCCAAGUACACGUCCUUGAACGACGGAAACUGCGAACGGCUCAUUAAAUCAGUUGCGAUCUACUCGGCGUUCCGCGCCGCCGGAUAACCGUAGUAAUUCUAGGGCUAAUACGUGCGAAGCGCCCGAAGCCGCGAGGCGACGGGCGUUCUCGCCGGAUGUAGGAACCGACCCGGGGACCGCCGGGGCAACCCGGCGCCCCCGAGACGGGGCGAACCACGGUGAAAUGACGGAUCGUCGGCCCCGCGCCGGCGACUCGCCGAAUGAGUUUCUGACCUAUCAACUCGAGACGGGCGGGGUAGAGGCCCCGCCGCGGUAACGACGGGUAACGGGAAUCAGGGUUCGAUUCCGGAGAGGGACGCCCGAGAAACGGCUACCACUUCCAAGG
rnacentral:rRNA from 1 species